UGGAUACAGUACAAACAAUAUAAUCAUAGAUCAAAUAGUUCAUUUAUUUAUAUAUCUUGGCAAAUCAAAUCGUAUCCCUUACCCACUCAUAUUCGAUGAGUCUACAAUUAAAUCAGUUGUUUUUUCAUCCUCCCGGA
ensembl:ncRNA T13H10.10 ncRNA